UGGGGAAUUUUGGACAAUGGGCGAAAGCCUGAUCCAGCAAUGCCGCGUGUGUGAAGAAGGCCUUCGGGUUGUAAAGCACUUUUGUCCGGAAAGAAAUCCUUGGCUCUAAUACAGUCGGGGGAUGACGGUACCGGAAGAAUAAGCACCGGCUAACUACGUGCCAGCAGCCGCGGUAAUACGUAGGGUGCAAGCGUUAAUCGGAAUUACUGGGCGUAAAGCGUGCGCAGGCGGUUUGCUAAGACCGAUGUGAAAUCCCCGGCUCAACUGGGAACUGCAUUGGUGACUGGCAGGCUAGAGUAUGGCAGAGGGGGGUAGAAUUCCACGUGUAGCAGUGAAAUGCGUAGAGAUGUGGAGGAAUACCGAUGGCGAAGGCAGCCCCCUGGGCCAAUACUGACGCUCAUGCACGAAAGCGUGGGGAGCAAACAGGAUUAGAUACCCUGGUAGUCCACGCCCUAAACGAUGUC
rnacentral:rRNA from 1 species